AGUAAAGUCAGCUAAACAAGCUCUUGGGCCCAUACCCCAAACAUGUAGGUUAGACCCCUACCUCUACUA
rnacentral:tRNA from 1 species